rnacentral:rRNA from 1 species
UACGGAGGGUGCAAGCGUUAUCCGGAUUUACUGGGUUUAAAGGGUGCGUAGGUGGGUAGGUAAGUCAGUGGUGAAAUCUUCAAGCUUAACUUGGAAACUGCCAUUGAUACUAUUUAUCUUGAAUACUUUGGAGGUAAGCGGAAUAUGUCAUGUAGCGGUGAAAUGCUUAGAUAUGACAUAGAACACCGAUAGCGAAGGCAGCUUGCUACACAAUAAUUGACGCUGAGGCACGAAAGCGUGGGGGAUCAAACAGG